rnacentral:rRNA from 1 species
GCCUGGGAAACUGGGUCUAAUACCGGAUAGGAGCGNCCACCGCAUGGUGGGUGUUGGAAAGAUUUAUCGGUUUUGGAUGGACUCGCGGCCUAUCAGCUUGUUGGUGAGGUAAUGGCUCACCAAGGCGACGACGGGUAGCCGGCCUGAGAGGGUGACCGGCCACACUGGGACUGAGACACGGCCCAGACUCCUACGGGAGGCAGCAGUGGGGAAUAUUGCACAAUGGGCGAAAGCCUGAUGCAGCGACGCCGCGUGAGGGAUGACGGCCUUCGGGUUGUAAACCUCUUUCAGUAGGGAAGAAGCGAAAGUGACGGUACCUGCAGAAGAAGCACCGGCUAACUACGUGCCAGCAGCCGCGGUAAUACGUAGGGUGCGAGCGUUAUCCGGAAUUAUUGGGCGUAAAGAGCUCGUAGGCGGUUUGUCGCGUCUGUCGUGAAAGUCCGGGGCUUAACCCCGGAUCUGCGGUGGGUACGGGCAGACUAGAGUGCAGUAGGGGAGACUGGAAUUCCUGGUGUAGCGGUGGAAUGCGCAGAUAUCAGGAGGAACACCGAUGGCGAAGGCAGGUCUCUGGGCUGUAACUGACGCUGAGGAGCGAAAGCAUGGGGAGCGAACAGGAUUAGAUACCCUGGUAGUCCAUGCCGUAAACGUUGGGCACUAGGUGUGGGGACNAUUCCACGGUUUCCGCGCCGCAGCUAACGCAUUAAGUGCCCCGCCUGGGGAGUACGGCCGCAAGGCUAAAACUCAAAGGAAUUGACGGGGGNCCGCACAAGCGGCGGAGCAUGCGGAUUU